AGUUGGUGUAUUUCUUUGCUUCUUUCCACGUUUUCUUCCUCUGCAGCAUCCCCCAUGAAGUGGCGCUGAAAGAUCACGUUAGCACAGUCCCAUGAUGUGAAAUACCACAAGUCUGCAAUUUUUCGGGCUUGAGAGCAUCGCUGGGCUGAGUGGAUGGAAAUCUUUCAGUAAUUAUACCAGUUUGUAUUCGUCUCACAUUUGGGACCAAAUACAAAACCGAUCCACUCUUUCUCCCUGUGAAUAUUCAUAAAAAACAAAGUGCCAAUUCUGGGCUAAUCAUGUAUGGAACCAAACACGUUGAUGAGUCCUAAGUAUAUACUGUCUGUAUGUAUACAUAUGAAUAUAUAUAUUUAUACACACUA
rnacentral:lncRNA from 1 species